UUCCUUCUUGUCUUUGGAAGGAGAGAGAUUUCCAUAUACAACUUAUACGGUGUAAAACUUAAGCUUCCUCCUCAGCCUGGACAAAUUUUGUGAUAGACAGACAUCAUCUUACUGGCUCCUUCUGUCCAUAGCAGCCACAGCUUCCUCCCAGCCACAGCUCUGAGUCUUCUUGAGAGUCUGCCUCUCUCACAGGAAGUGUCCCACUGCCUCACAAGCAGACAGCAUUAAAGAGACAACGUGUUCUCAGAUAAAAUGUUCCAAAUAUAACAAGUCUAUUUUUAUUAAAUUUUACCAAAGGCCUCCCCGCUUCCUAAUCAGAAAGCCUGAUUUGCUAACUCCUGCAGACCUAGCUGCACUGUCUCGCUACAGCUGUAUCGUGAGAUAGAAUUACAUUUUCAUAAUGACUCAAAUCUUUUCCCAAGUCCUUAAGUAUUUUCACAAAAAGGAAAAAAAUAAGGAAAGGAGGAAAAAGGAAAAAAAAAAGAAAGAAAAACCCCACACACCCUCCCGUAAAAUCCAGACACCAACCCUGAGUUGUGUGUGGUCUUUUUUUGUCUUUUCUUUUGGCGUCCCUCAAGACACAGCUUAUUGCAUUGGUCUGGAUAGCGUCCUACCAGCACAGUGAGCUGGCCAAGCCCUGAUCCCAACAACAAAGUCACCUUUGCAGGUGCCAAAGUAAACGGCAGCCUCCAGCUACCUGUACCCACUGCUGACGCUGGGCUGUGCGUGUGCAGGAUGCAUGGCCGGAAAGGCAGUGCCUUCGCCCUCCAUCCCUUUGAUGUGCAUCAGUCUUUGGACUUUGUCUUUUUUUAUUCAGGGCACUGCAACCUGGAGAGCUAUAUGUAAAUGCCCUUUAUUUGGAGAAGUGUGAAGUUGUACAAAGAGAACUGGCUAUAAAAUGGACAGAGGAUGAAAAAUGUGUGUGCGCUAUAGGGAAGCUGUAUAUGUGCAAUCUUGGUUCCUACUUUCUAUAUUUGUGGGUAACUUUAGCUCAUAUAAGUGUAUGUGUGAGUGUGUCCUCAUGUAUACAGUGUACGGGUUGUGUGCCUGCAGGAUUUCAUCAAAUGGACCCAUUUCUAAUGUCAGCUGUGCUGCUCACAACUGGAGGAGCUCCUCUGGCAGCCAGUCCAAAGCCUUUUGAUCACACUGUUUCCAUUGGAUUUACAAGGUGCAGCUAAAAUCGGGAGCCUUUUAAAGUCAUGAAUGACAUAAAAGGAAAGCCCCAGAUCACUUCCUAAUCAGAUUGAACUUACAGCAUUUCUUGUGGAGAGAAAACUCUACAGUAAGUUUUUGCUGGACUCCAGGAGCUGCAAGACUUUUCUCCUGGCCCACCCUCAGCUCCUUCAUGAGGAAGCAGAGUCACCCUGGCAAGUGGAGGCAGUUAGCUUCAGUUAUGUCACAGGCAAACUUGGAGUUGUUUUCAGCCCUUCUUCCUGCUCAUUUGCUGACCUCUUCACACUUUCAGUGAAGGAGUGAACCCUGCAGAGUAGCUUUAGGCCACUGGAUUUUGGUUGGUCUCUGUGGCUCUUGACGGUAAAAUGCACGUGUUGAUCGCAGGUUGAAACCUCCUGACUUGAGAGCAGACACCUCACUCCCAAGCCUUGUCGUAUGGAUUUUCUUGCAACAGGAGUGAAGAAAUACAUGAUCCAGGAAUCCUAUGUCUUUGUUAGCAUUGCCACAUGUGGUAGCUUUGCCUUUUGGGACUUUCUCCACGAGGGACCAGGAAUCAGCAUAGCUUCAGCUAAAUCAACUAAAAAACAGAUUUCUUGAUGCCAAGAGGAUCAACACGGUGUCCUUUGAAUUACCAGAUGAAUUUCUUACCCAGAAUAUACCGUCUGGGCUUGGAAAACCUACUUUCAAAAUCCAGUCAGCUCCUCUCCUCUCCUCAGCUACAUUUCUCCUCACCAUUGUCUAAUCCACCCAUGUUCAGGGCACCAGAGACUGCUCUUGUUCCUCCCCUGCCUGCACUCCCCACAUUCUCAUCUGCUGCAUGUGUGCAACGCUCACUCAUGACCCCAUACUGGCUCUCCUUUAUCCCUUGGAGCUGAUUGAAACUCCUCUGGCACCUAGUAGGAGUGGGUAUGUUUGGUGGUCUCACCACACCAGCGUGGUACCCACCAUGCUGCAUUGCGGGGCCCACAAUCACUGCCCACUGGCAUGUUGUUGUAUGUGCAGGUUUGCAGACUCAAUGGUAAUUAAAACCAGUCCCUCUGACCCUGACCCUGAGUAGAUUAAGCUUAGAUCCUGCCUGCCUGCAAAUGUACUUGUAUAAAGCAAGGAGUUGAGGUGAGGAGAAGAGAAUAUGGUGAAUCUUUCAAGGAUCAGCAUUUUAAACUGCAAGCCCUUUUGUUCUGUAAUCUGGGAUAUUCCCUAGCAGUCCACAUGGAGAAGAAAAGGGGCAUUGUCUGGCAAGUGGCUUCAUUACUAAUCUCUCCUGGAUGCAUUUUAAUUCAUUUUAAUGACUCUGCCUCCUGUCAGACCUUUCAUUUGUUAAAGGGGUUUGUUAAAGAGAUUAAGUGCAAGGGGAAUUUGAACCUCAAAACACUACAUCCCUUCCCCCCUCUCCCAACUCCUCUCUCUCCUCCCAAGAUUAAUAUUACACCGAAAGGAAGAGAAAAGACAUUUUCUGUGAAACACAUUACAAGACUUUUAGGAAGAGAGGGAAGGAGGAGGAGCAAUGGAGCAUGCUGGACUCUUAACCCAUGGAGGAGCUGGAUGCUGGUAGUAUUGAUGUUACGCUUUUCCAGCUACAUUGUUCCCCAUGCAUAUGUCUAUUAAAGCUUUGUGCAAACACAGCUGUUUAUUAGGAAUGCCAGCUUAGGGAAAUAAACCAUCUGCCUCAAUUUGGUUCUACUUCUGUCUUCUACUCAUGUGGGAGCUUGGAAUAACCUCCCCCACCCCUGAAAAACAAAUGUACCAUGCAGUACAUAUACUGCAUAGAAAUCCAGGCCUUCAGCCAGCUGAAGAAAUGAGAGAACUUCUUGGUUUCCUGCAUCAACUUCCUACCCAAGGAUCUCAAAGCCCUUUGCACAGUGUGGGAAGUGGCAAGGUCAACAGAAUCCCUGUGUGGAACCAUGAGUUUAUUUUCAAAGUUCACGGUCUCAAUAGACAUCCUUUGAGACAUGUGUUUCAUGGAUUUACUAGAAAAAUUCCCUCAGCUAGGUCAGUGGACUAUUUCAGUCCUUCUCUCAGUCCACAAGUCCUGAAAGCAAUUUUUUAUAGCCCUAUGGACUCUUAAUCUCCUUAGGACUGAACAGGCCUCAGAAGUUCAUGAAAAGGAUAACAGAAUGAGUUGCCAUGCAGUAGCAGAGUGGUGGGUUCUGGUCAAGAAGAUGUCUGUCUUCCCUACAUCCCUCGAUGUUCCUCUAAUGGCCAAUUGGUACAUGGUACAAUGUGAGUA